rnacentral:rRNA from 1 species
UACGGAGGGUGCGAGCGUUGUCCGGAAUCACUGGGCGCAAAGGGCGCGUAGGCGGCAUGCCAAGCGUGUGGUGAAAGCCCGGGGCUCAACCCCGGGUCGGCCGUGCGGACUGGCGUGCUCGAGCACUGUAGGGGCGGGUGGAAUUCCGGGUGUAGCGGUGGAAUGCGUAGAGAUCCGGAAGAACACCGGUGGCGAAGGCGGCCCGCUGGGCAGGAAGGCUCGCAAGAGCCGGCUGACGCUGAGGCGCGACAGCGUGGGGAGCAAACAGG